UCUCCGUCCAUUUCAAACCCUAGAAUUCAUUAUCUCUCUGUUUCAUCCAAUUCGUUCAAUGGCCAAUUCGUUCAAUGGGUUUAUGAAAGAGCUUCAAUAUGGUUCCUUCCAGCUCUCAUUACAAUCUAGACGAGUGGAUCGACUGCUGAUGUAGCGCAAGCCUCCCCGGCCCUCCUGCAAUAGAGAGAUAAAGAGAUGGCGGAUGAGAGAGAGGACGUCGACCUUGUACUGCGCUUGAAGUUCUACCUUCACUUCGUCAAUUGUGUAGCUAGCCGGGAAAAUAUGGCAGCCAUUAGCAAGUAUAUGGGCUUGAGCAGUGUUAAAUGUGAGAUCUUAAACUCCUUGCAAGGGUAUUGGAAUAGUUGGAUGAUUGAUAUUUUCUUAGUCGGACAAGAGUGCCUGUCAAGAUCCACAUGUUUUUCCAUUAUUAUAUCAUUAGGUGCAAACUUUGCUGGUUGAGGGAAUGUUCAUAAUUCUCUUUGAUUUGCAUGGCUUUCCAUAGCUGUAUGGAUUUGAGAUUUUGAGUAUUUUAGGUUUAUGUGGAAAUUUUUGGAAGCAGGUCAUUCUUCUAUAGAGUUGAAGGGCUUGUGAUAUAAUUUGUUUCACGACUUUCACUUCUAUUCCCUUUUGCUCAAUACAUAAUACAAUAGCCUUUAAUUUGUUUGUUUCAACAUAUACGAAAAAUAGCCUUUAAAUUUCACUUUGGCCACCUUGUCGAAGU